UCCACUAAUCUCUAAACUCUUUCUUCACGGUCAUUUUCAAUUUGCGUUUUUCAGUUACUUUCACUUUAAUUUUUAAUUCCCCUCUAACUUUGAUUCACUGAUUUGUCACCAUAACAGCUGCUUAUUUUGACGCCCAUGAAGUGUUCGAAAAUAUGCCCAAUACCUUGCCCACGGAUUCAGAAAAUGCUGCAAAUUUACUCAACACUUGCCGCAUAACAACUGCUUAUGUCGCCAUGAAAUAUUCAAAAAUAUGCCCUAUAGGUUGACCUUGCCCAUGGAUUCAUGAAAUGCUGCAAAUUUACUCAACAUUUGCCGGUUGAUAGAUGGUAGUUUAAACCAACAAAAGGCCGUGAAAAAAUUCAGUUUGACCUUUCUCCAUUCGUAUUUGAGG